ACGAUCGGGGCGUGGUAGGGUACACGCUUGUAGAGAUCGAUGAC
rnacentral:sRNA from 1 species